rnacentral:scRNA from 1 species
GCAUUCUCAGUCUUGAGGACGGCGCCCACUUC